GAUGAACGCUGGCGGCGUGCCUAAUACAUGCAAGUCGAGCGAACAGACGAGGAGCUUGCUCCUCUGACGUUAGCGGCGGACGGGUGAGUAACACGUGGAUAACCUACCUAUAAGACUGGGAUAACUUCGGGAAACCGGAGCUAAUACCGGAUAAUAUAUUGAACCGCAUGGUUCAAUAGUGAAAGACGGCUUUGCUGUCACUUAUCGAUGGAUCCGCGCCGCAUUAGCUAGUUGGUAAGGUAACGGCUUACCAAGGCAACGAUGCGUAGCCGACCUGAGAGAGUGAUAGGCCACACUGGAACUGAGACACGGACCAGACUCCUACGGGAGGCAGCAGUAGGGAAUCUUCCGCAAUGGGCGAGAGCUUGACGGAGCAAGGCCGCGUGAGUGAUGAAGGUCUUCGGAGCGUAAAACUCUGUUAUGAGGGAAGAACAAAUGUGUAAGUAACUAUGCACGGCUUGACGGUACCUAAUCAGAAAGCCACGGCUAACUACGUG
rnacentral:rRNA from 1 species